rnacentral:lncRNA from 1 species
GAAGGUUGAUCCCGAUCCACCUAACAUGGAGCAGGCUUAGAAACUUUAGAAUAUGCGUGGGGUAGGAUUUCUAAAAGUUUAGGUAAAUUAAAGAGGGUGGGAAGCGCCUGCACAUGCAUAUGAAUUUGGAUGAUGAAUGUGUAUAUGAUCAAAGGAAGUAAUUUGUUUAUUCAUUGGUUUGUUUUCCCGUUUUGCUCUUUGUAUUAUGGAGAGACUAUGAACCUCUGAUCGUCUUUUUUCUUUUUUUCUUUUUUUCCUUCUUUUCAUUUCUCUUUCUUAUUUAUAAGUACAUCUUGUCUGUAUAUCUGAUUGUCUGUUUGGCAG